rnacentral:rRNA from 1 species
GCCAACUUGGAGACAGUGGGGGCGGUAAGACGGAGGGUGCAAGGGUUAAACGGAAUAGCUGGACGUAAAGGGGGCGUAGGCGGUUAUUUAAGUCUGCCGUGAAAUCCCCGGGAUCAACCGGGGAAUGGCGGUGGAUACUGGAUAGCUAGAGUGUGGCAGAGGAUGGUGGAAUUCCCGGUGUAGCGGUGAAAUGCGUAGAGAUCGGGAGGAACAUCAGUGGCGAAGGCGGCCAUCUGGGACAACACUGACGCUGAAGCACGAAAGCGUGGGGAGCAAACAGGAUUAGAUACCCCGGUAGUC